UGCAGGUGUACAAUGUAGUGAUUCAUCAUUCCGUACAUCGCCCGGCGCUCAUUGCAACAGGUGCACUCCUUUAUCCCCGUCACGUAUUUCACCCAUCCCCCUCACCCCCCACGCCACAAAAGCCAUUCUUACAAAUCUCUUGUUUUUAUGUUCUAGAACCAUCCAUGGCUACAGCAAAACUCAGGGAAUAAUGUUAGUCAAUUAACAGCUGCCAAGUUACCUAGAGGAGCAGAUGCACAUACGCUGUCAUUCUACAGAGAAAGACAUACUUCUGCUUUACUUCAUGCCACUUCCUCUGCCCCAGUUUAUUUUCCCAGCACAGAAGUCCUACUGUUUCCUGGUUUUCUUUCAUUCUUUGACCACACAAUGGCCUCUUCACGCCUUUGAGGUAUGACAAGGUAAACUUGCACAGACAACCUGCGUUUUCAUGAGAUAACCUAUCCAGUGUCACGGGUUCUCACCAGCCAGACUUGCCCUCAACACGUUUAGCUCGGCCAGCAGUUGAGAAAAAAAUAAGAAACUUAACAUUUUUAAGCCCAGUGGUCUCAAGUUCUUGGGCUCCACCUCUCCGUACGUCUUCCACCAGGCCAGUUCAGACCUUUAUCCUGUACCUCAACUGUAAAGCCAAUGAGAGUACAAGGCCUGUCUGGUUCGCUCCUUAACCACUGCAGGAUCCUACAAAUUUCAGCCUGAUAAGAUAUACGGGAGAUCUUCAAACUUUUGUCCCAAUCUGCCAUAAAGGCACAUACAUGUGUUUGUAACUGAAGAGAACUGUUUCAUGAAAUAAACUUUGACCACAG